UACGAAGGGGGCUAGCGUUGCUCGGAAUCACUGGGCGUAAAGCGCACGCAGGCGGAUUGAUAAGUCAGGGGUGAAAUCCCGGAGCUCAACUUCGGAAUUGCCUUUGAUACUGUCUGUCUUGAGUCCGGGAGAGGUGAGUGGAAUUCCUAGUGUAGAGGUGAAAUUCGUAGAUAUUAGGAAGAACACCAGUGGCGAAGGCGGCUCACUGGCCCGGUACUGACGCUCAUGUGCGAAAGCGUGGGGAGCAAACAGG
rnacentral:rRNA from 1 species